UGGGGAAUUUUGGACAAUGGGCGAAAGCCUGAUCCAGCAAUGCCGCGUGUGUGAAGAAGGCCUUCGGGCUGUAAAGCACUUUUGUCCGGAAAGAAAUCCUUGGCUCUAAUACAGUCGGGGGAUGACGGUACCGGAAGAAUAAGCACCGGCUAACUACGUGCCAGCAGCCGCGGUAAUACGUAGGGUGCAAGCGUUAAUCGGAAUUACUGGGCGUAAAGCGUGCGCAGGCGGUUUGCUAAGACCGAUGUGAAAUCCCCGGGCUCAACCUGGGAACUGCAUUGGUGACUGGCGGGCUAGAGUAUGGCAGAGGGGGGUAGAAUUCCACGUGUAGCAGUGAAAUGCGUAGAGAUGUGGAGGAAUACCGAUGGCGAAGGCAGCCCCCUGGGCCAAUACUGACGCUCAUGCACGAAAGCGUGGGGAGCAAACAGGAUUAGAUACCCUGGUAGUCCACGCCCUAAACGAUGUCAACUAGUUGUUGGGGAUUCAUUUCCUUAGUAACGUAGCUAACGCGUGAAGUUGACCGCCUGGGGAGUACGGUCGCAAGAUUAAAACUCAAAUGAAUUGACGGGGUCAUAGCUGUUUUUCUG
rnacentral:rRNA from 1 species